rnacentral:lncRNA from 1 species
UAUCGGGAUGAUAUUGAACCAAGACCUAACGUUUCAAGCUAUCAUGAUGACGAAAAGCUCAGAAACAAUGAGUCUUUUGACAAAGAUAUUGAACCAAGGCCUAAUGUCUCAGCUUACCAUGAUGAUGAAAAGCUCAAGAAAGGUAAUUCUAAUAUGGAUGAUAUUGAACCAAGACCUAACAUUUCAAGCUAUCAUGACAACGAAAAGCUCAGAAACAAUGAAUCUUUCGACAAAGACAUCGAACCGAGACCGAAUGUUUCAUCUUACCAUGACGAUGAGAAGCUUAAGGAAAGUGAUUCUUUUUCAAAAGAUAUUGAACCGAGGCCUAAUGUUUCAAGCUAUCAUGAUGGCGAAAAACUCAGAGAUAACGAGUCUUUUGACAAAGACAUCGAACCAAGGCCGAAUGUUUCAUCCUACCAUGACGAUGCGAAUCUCAAAAAAAGUGAUUCUUUUUCAAAAGAUAUUGAACCGAGGCCUAAUGUUUCAAGCUAUCAUGAUGGCGAAAAACUCAGAGAUAACGAGUCUUUUGACAAAGACAUCGAACCAAGGCCGAAUGUUUCAUCCUACCAUGACGAUGCGAAUCUCAAAAAAAGUGAUUCUUUUUCAAAAGAUAUUGAACCUAGGCCUAACAUUUCAGCUUACCAAGGUGACAAGAAGCUCACAGAAAAUGAAUCAUUUAUCAAAGAUAUUGAACCAAGGCCGAAUGUUUCAUCCUACCAUGAUGAUGACAAGCUUACAAAAACAGACGCUUUCACAAAAGAUAUUGAACCACGACCUAAUGUCUCAUCCUAUGAUGACAAUGAAGCGCUUAAAGAAGAUAAGUCAUAUGCUGAUGAUUUGAAGCCAAGACCCAAUAUUUCAAUAUACCAGGAGUAGUUUGGGGUUGCAGAGUAAACAUAUGAGCCUCGAGCAUCAUAUGAUCCAUCAUCCUCAUAGCGUUAUCUUAAAUAAGAGGAUUUUCGUUUGUACUAUCUAUUUGUUUUGCUUUAGAAUGUUGUUUUGUUUGCCAAGCUUAGCAUCUGUAACAUAUUUCAUGAAAAGAAAACGUGCUUUGUUUGUUUGUUCAAUCACUGUCCCGGCAUUAGGACACUAUCUGUUUUGAUGAACAAGCAACUGGAAGGAUGAAAACAAGCACCAAUAGUUUUAAAUCUAUCUCCAAUCUCGGCCACUGUUGAAACCUUAAACUAAAUUCUCUUACUCUUUUGGUAAUGACAGUAAAAGACUGAAUAAGAGUAUGGCAUAGUCUUUUGCUAACGAUAUCAAAACAAGAACAAAUGUAUCGACAUACUAUGAAAAAAGUGACUUUUCUUCAAAAAAUUGAUUGAUACCUUUGCAAAAGUUUUUGAACUAAGGACUAGUUUUCGGCCUACAACGAUGCUGAAAAGCUUUGAAAAAAUAAUAUUAGGAAGGAUUAUAAACCAAGGCCUAAAAGCUCAUUAUAUGAUGAUUCCGCCUUUAAGAAGGAAUAGCCUGAGAAUCAUGCCUUGAAAGAAAGAAAAAACUCUCCAAACUCCCACUGAUUUCAACCGAGAACCUGCAGAGAAGUUACAGAAACUACUUCAGGACACAAACUUAGCUGGAUAUUUCAAUCAGUAGUUCAGUACACAGCAGCAGAAAUGAGAUUCCAAUUCAACUUGUCAAUAGCUUUGUGAAUAUCAGGCUUUAAUGUAGAGGUGGCAAAACCAUUAAACCAAACCAAAUUUGUGAAUUUGGAUCAAUAUGAAAUCACAUUUAGAAAAAUGAAUUUGGUUUGGUUCCUAGUAGGGCUGAGCAUUCGGUCGGUUCGGUCCAGAACCGGACCGGACCGAACGGACCGAAGACCGAACUUCUGAAAAUUUUUGGACCAGACCGGACCGAAGUUUGUAUAUGGACCGAACCGGAACCGAACCGAAAUAGUUCGGUCGGUCCGGUCCGGUCCGCCAGAACCGAACUUUUUUUGAAAAAUUUAAAUUAAUUUGUGUUAUAAAGGAAACUUCAAGCAUAAUUAAUGUAAAAAAAUGCAGCGACCAACACAUGAUUUAGAAAGCCAAGUAACAUUCAAACACCAUUCCAAAAUAGCAUUAAGUUUACAAAUUUUAAAAAUUAAAACAAUGACAAUUGACAUUAGUCUGCUAGAGUGCUAGUUGAUCAAAAAUAAAAUCACUGCAUGUAUUAGCCUCUGAGUUCAGCUAGUCGAAAUAGCUUCUUCCUGCUCUUCCAACUUUGACUGCAUAAUUACUUGUUCUGCCUCCAAGUCUCCAGGUAUAGUCGUAUAGAGUCAGUGAAUAUAGAUAUUAGAUAAUAUAAUAUAAGUGUAUAAGUAUAAUAUGUUAUUUAAUAUAUAAAAUAAAAAUAUUAUUUAUAUUAUAUAUAAAAGUUCGGUCGGUUCGGUCCAGGACCGAAGUUUUUCGAUGGGGACCGGACCGGACCGUAUUUUAUUUCGGUCCGGACCGAAAUACCCGAACGGACCGAACUUUCAGAAAAUUAGGACCGGACCGGACCGAAAUUAUUCGGUCCGGUCCGGUUUUUCGGUUUCGGUUCGGUUCUGCUCAGCCCUAGUUCCUAGUCUCACAUUUUUCACAAAAUAUGGAUCUAACUACAUCUAUCUCUCUCUUUUUAAGAUUUCUUAAUGACAUACACUUUUGUGUUUUUUCCCCUUCUUCUUUUUGCUUAUCAUUUUAUUGAAAUUAUUAUGUUUUAUAAACUUUUAAACAAAUAAUAAUUCAUUUUAUCACAUGUGAGUCAAGUAUCAACCCAUAAUUUAGUGCUUAAAUAAUUCUUAAUAACACACACGCACAUCCCGUGAUUCGAACCCAUGACCUUUCUUCGAUAAGUCUAAGAGUUUGAACCACUCUAUCAACUCAUACACCCACACAAAGUAUUGGUGUAUUCACUAUUUAUUAUAUUGUCACUUUAGUGUAUUAAUUUUUGUUCAUUAUUAUAUACUUGUUUUUUAUUUAUUAAACUAGUUUACUCAUAAUUCAAACUAAAACCAUAACCACAUUUAUUAAUACUAGUUGAUAACCCGUGCCAAGCACGGGUUUAAAUAAAAUUUUAAAUUUGUUAUUUAUUAAAAGAAUAAUGUCUUUUUUUAAUUACUUACAUUAUCAUAUUUUAUUAUAUUUAUUUAAAUUAUUGUUUUUAAAUAAUAUUUAAAUUAUUGUUAUUUAAUAUAAAACUUUCUAUAUAUUAAAAUUUGAUCCUGUUUUAAAUUUAUUUCAUUACAAUAAGGGUUCAUGUUCAAUGGAGUCCACAAAAUAAGAGUAUCGGAGUCCAAAAUUAUCCAAAAAUAAUCUACUCGUUUCAAUUUUAAUUUUUUUAGUCUACAAUAUUUGUAAACGUCUGACAAUUUACAGGUUAUGUUCUACAAUAUAAUCGUUGCAAUCAAAUGAUAAAACAAUUAUUUUAUAAAUCACUAAACACUAUAUAUGUUCUAAAAUAUAACUCAUAAGUAGAAUAAUGAUCUUAAUGAUUGUUAAUGUUAAAAGAUGUUAAUGAUUAAUUGAUAAUAAUAUUUAAAACUACUUAAUGAUGGUAAAUUAUAUAUGGAAUUUGAAUAAUUAAAGAUAUUUAUUAGACCUGGCAAUUUGGUACACGACACGAAAAUACGACACGAACACGAAAAUACACGUUAAAUUUAGAUUCGGGUUCGGAUUUUUAUUUUAUAUACACGAAAGUACACGAAUGUACACGAUAUAAAUAUUUUUUUUAAAAAAUAUAUAAUAUAUAUAUAUAUACAUGUACAAAUCUGUACACAAUUGUAUACAUAUAUAAAGAUUUAAUAUAUAUUUCAUUAUAUAAUACAUAAAAAUGCAUAUAUUUCAUUAUAUGAUACAUAAAAAUGUAUAUUCUUAAUAUAUUUUAAUUAAAUUUAAUUAUAAUAUUUAUAUUAAAUGUACACGAAAAGUACACGACACGUUUUGAAACGGGUACGGGUUUGAGAUUACGUACACGAAUUCGAAACGGGUCGGGUAUGGAUUUUACCUUCAAGUAGACGAAACGUGAAAGUACUGGACACAAAAGUACACGACACGACACGAUUGCCAGGUCUAAUAUUUAUUAUGACUAAACUAAAAGAUUAUGAGUGGUACUUACUACGUCUUAUAUGCGGAUUUUAUUAAACAUAACUCUAACAUAUGUUUUAUUUUAGUAAAAUUACUAUGUUGUUUGAUGAUUUUUAAAUUGUGAAAAUAAUAUUCAAGAUCAACACAUAUAAGUUCGUUUACAGCGUCUUUAAUCUUGAAUUAAAAUUUGAAAUUUUCAAGUCAAAAUUAUUUUAUUCACCUGAUAGGCAAACAUUAUAUAUAAUUUUAGUUGGAGUUUUUGUAGAUCUAAUAGUGGUGUUGUAGUUGUUUGAUAAACUAAUAUUAUAGUUUGACAAAUUUAAUUAACUUUUGAAAAAUAUUUAGAUAUAAAAUUUUUGGAAGUAUGUCUUGUGUUUCGGUUCUUUUAUUAUAUGUUGCAAUAUGGACAUUGGCUUCAUCUUUGAGCUUUUAUUUGUCAAGUCAGUGUUACCACCGACUUAUUCGUCUUUAUCGCAAUCUUCUAAAUAGCACUGAAUAAUAAUAAUAAUAAUUAUUAAAAAAUAUAUGACCAAGUUUUUUGGUACUUUGGUAUCAAUAUUGAAUUUCGUUUAUUUUAAUUUUGAAGUAUGAUAGAAAUUUCAUAGAUUUGUUUCGUAAAUUAAACUAUAUGAGUUUUAAAAAUUAAAACGAAUAAUUUUGUUGACAUUAUUAUUCUAUUGGUAGGAUGUUAUUUUAUUAUAAAAUCUUUAAUAGUAUAAUUAUUAUUACUGUCGAAUAAAAAAAUUAUAAGAUGAUGACCAAAUUAAAGUUAUUUUAUAAAAUAAAUUAUUUGAGUUUUAAAAUUUGAAAUGAGUAGCUUUGUUGACGGUAAUUUUGUAAGUGUGAUAAUUAUUAGUAUAAAAUUCUGAUCAUGCACGGAAGUAUUCUCAUAGUUAUAUGAUGAUAAUAAUUAUUAAAAAUUAUAUGAUAAUAACCAAAUAUUGGUACUUUGAUAUUUAAUAUUUUGAUGAUAUUGAUUCCGCUUAUUGAUAAAAAUUAUAUAUGGAUAUUAUAUUAAUACCAAUAUCAACUCCUUAUCUAUUUAAACUCUAAAGCAUGAUAAAAGAUUUACAGAGUUGUUCUGUAUAUUAAAUUAUUUGAGUUUUAAAAAAUUAAAACAAAUAAUUUUAUUAGUGAGAUAAUUGUUGUAAUAUACAACCCGGACAAAUGUAGAAAUUUUUUGAUAAUAAUAGUAAUAAUUGUUAAAUAUAAAAUAAUAUGAUGAUAGCCAAUUUUUAAUAUGAAUUUUGUAGAAUUGUUUCAUAAGUUAAAUUGUUAGCGAUUUAACUGUGCGGAUAGGAUAAAUGUUAUAUUACAAAAUUCUAAAUACUAUAAAAGUCUUUUUUACAGCUGCAUAAUAAUAAUUAUAAAAUCUUAACCAAUAUUGAAAUUUUUAAUUAUAAAAUCCGAAUCAAUAUAGAUGUCUUUUCAUAAUUGUAUAAUAAUAAUUAUAAAAUCCUAAAAAUGUAUAAAAUCCUAAAAAUAUGAAAAUCUUUUCAUAAUUCUAUAAUGAUUAUUGUUAUUAAAUAAAAAUUUUAUAUAACGUUGUCCUAUUCAAUAUUGAAGUCUUUAAUAAUAAAAUUCUAAUCAAUACAAAAGUCUUUCAUUGUACUAAUGAAUAUUAAAGUCUUUAAUAAUAAAAUUCUAUUCAAUAUAGAAGUCUUUUGAUGAUAGUAUAAUAAUGAUUAUAAAAUCCUAAUCAAUAUGAAAGUAACCAAAUUUUGGUAUUUUUAGUACCGAUGUUCCAUCGAAAUUCGCUUAUUAAUAAAGGGUAUUGAUAUGGCUUGGAACUAGAUCCAUUUUAUGAGGAUCAAAACCAAACCAAUCACACAUUUUGCCAUCUCUACUUUGAAGCGAGGAGACCAUUUUUCGGAGUUUAAAGUUCUACAGAGAGCCUGAGCCAGAAAACUUUGUCCCAUAUGGUUCUACCUGGCACAAAGACAUUCUUCUCAAGGGUGAUAAGGGAAGUCAGAUCAAGCUUCAAAUGUUUGGCCAGACGGAACAUCGCGAGGCUGUUAUCCGGGUUGUAGUGAGUAUUGCCUUCAUCCUCCCGAAUAGAUAUAAUAAAUCAGGUUCAUCCCACUAGUUCAAAGACAGAUCUGUUUCCAGGAUUAAUAAUCAAAAUGUUGAAAAGGUGUUCAUCUUUAAGUACUCGAGAUGAUAUUUUGGCUUUUAUUUUAGAUUAUGAACUUUUUUACAUGAUAAUCAAGCUGCAGUUACAGGACAACAAUAAUGAGAGUAACUUAUAACGUGAAAUGGCAGGUAGAAAGAAUAAUCUUCUAGCUGUAGAUGUAAUUGGGGUCCUCUGACAAGUGAUUGUCAGGGAACAUUUACACAACAAAAGGAAAAUUUUUUUAGUAUCUGCGGUAAAUAACCACGGCUAGAUCUUUCCGCGUGUUUCUUACGCGGACACACAGGGCUAUCCGCGGUUUUUUUUGAAUUUAUGGAUUUAGAUGAUUAUUAUGAUUAAACUAAUUUUGUUUUGAAUAAAUAACAAUUAACUUUAUUUUAUAUUAUAUGUUUAGAAUUCUUUGUUUAUAUAUUUUUAAUAGUUAGUAGAUUAUUAUUAAAAUUAUCAUUAUUACCUAUACAUUCUUAUGUUAGUAUUCUAUUAUAAAUUUAAUUAUUUUUUUUAAAGUUUUUUUUAUUGAUUGACUAAUUUAUUUUUUUUUGUGAAUAGUUAAUAUAUAAUUUUUAUUCUUGUCACAUAUUAUAUAUUAUAAGUAUUAUUUAUUUUUUGUGUUAUAUAAAAUAUAUUUAAAUUUAAUUUAUUUAACAAAAAUAUAAAAUGCUACUUAGACAAUGUAUAUUUUUUAGACGUUUUUCUUGUUUUAAGUUUUAAAUUAAUUUAAAAGAGAAUAAUAUUUAUGUGGUAUAUAUACCCCAUAAAAGAGAAUAAUAUUUAUAUACUUUACAAAAAAUAAUAUUUAUAUGUUAUAUAUACCACAUAAAAGAGAAUAAUUUUUAUUAUAUAUUCUCUUUAAGUACAUAAAUAUCACCCUAACCACGAAAUCCUUUACAAAAUCACACUUGUUAGAGUAAAAGAGAGAAACAAUAUAAACAGCAAACCAUGCAGCUAGAAAGAUCGAGAAAAUACAAAAAUAUUUAGUAUAAACGUCUAAAAACAUACAUUGUCUAAAUAGCAUUUUAUAUUUUUGUUAAAUAAAUUAAAUUUAAAUAUAUUUUAUAUAACACAAAAAAUAAAUAAUACUUAUAAUAUAUAAUAUGUGACAAGAAUAAAAAUUAUAUAUUAACUAUUCACAAAAAAAUUAGUCAAUCAAUAAAAAAAAUUUAAAAAAAUAACAAUUAAAUUUAUGAUAAAAUACUAAGAUUAGAAUGUAUAGGUAAUAAUGAUAAUUUUAAUAAUAAUCUACUAACUAUUAAAAAUAUAUAAACAAAGAAUUCUAAACAUAUAAUAUAAAAUAAAGUUAAUUGUUAUUUAUUCAAAACAAAAUUAGUUUAAUCAUAAUAAUCAUCUAAAUCCAUAAAUUUAAAAAGGAGAGUAUAAUUUAUUUUUUUGGAGAAGCAGAGACCUAGGGUUUCUGUGUUGUCCGCUGUUAUUAACCGCGGAUAUUCCUGAUCUAGUGUCCGCCGAUAUUUAAAAAGUUUCUUUUUGUCCCAGCCGCCGGGAAACAGUGUGUUGUGUAAAUGUUCUCUAACAAUCACUUGUCAGGGAACAGGACCCAUGUAAUUGAUGUGAUUGUAUAAAUUGCUUAUUGUUCCAAUUAUCUUUAUAAAGCCAGAAAUAACAAGUUUGGAAUGAAAAGGAAGAAAAAACAAGAGAAAAUUAAUUCUCUUCCCUCAACAGGUUGUAUUCUGACUUCCGAGUCACUUAACCUUACCUACGCCAACAUAUCAAACCCCGCAAUACUAUUGUUAUGUCCUCACAGUUCUUAUUGUGCACAGAACUUGAACAGAAAAUGAGAAACUAAAAUUGUCAUCAGUCUAGAGACCAUGAUGGAGAUGAGGAACAAAAACCCAAAAAGCUAAACCAUGCACAUCUGAAAAAUAGGAAUUCUUCCCUUCUUAUUGGUAAUAUUUUCCUUUUUAUGUGUUAAAAGAAAGUCUAAUUAUCUGAGCUGUAGCUUCUUCUUUUUUGUUAUAUUAUUGUGAUAAAUUAUAGUGAAGACAAUUCAAGAAACGUUGCACAAGGGACUGACUACAUACCAUAAUUUUGAUGCACCUUGGUGAAGUUGUAAAUGGCUUUUAUCAAGGAACCAAACUUCAUGGACUUUAAGGGUCCCAUAUGUCUGAAACAAGGAAACCGGUUUAACUGAUAGUACUAAGUAACCUAUACAGUAACACUACAAAACCUUCCUUCUGGUAUGAAGGAGCAGAAAUAGAAGACAAAUCUGAUGUCUGCAAACUUACAUGAUCUCAGUAUAUCGAAGUCUCCAUGCUGGGAAACCGAGGUGACAUCUUGCAGGCCCAUAAACUAAUAGAAGAUCUGGAUCUGCAUGUGCACAACCUAAUAGGAUUUCAAGAAAACAGCAAAACAUAAAAUAUAUAUUUAAUGCAUCAUGACCCAAGUAAAACUGGGGAAGAGUCUACUAAAGAAAUAGGAAAUCCAUACCAAUUGCUUUUAGCGCCUCAUCGAUGCUAGAAUCAGAAUAAAUAAACUCUUUUUGCUCUCCACCAAUAUAAUUUUUCUUAUAAAGGUAGUUAGCAGCUUCUGCAACUGCAUGUAAUAUGUUUCCUGCAUAAAUAGGAUCAUAAGUUGGCAUUCUUGAAACAGCAGUAACAGUGCCAACAAUUACGCACACAGUAAUCACUGGUAAUAUAAUUUAAUGAAGAAACUAAGCACUUAGCCAAAAAAAUGGAAACGGAGUCCGGAAACAAGUAAAUAGCACUAAUCUAGUUUACAGUUUUACGCAACUUAGAAGAGCAUUUUGCAGGAAAAUAUGACUCCAGAAAUUCUUAAUGAUUAUUAAGUUGCCUUAUUUUUUAAAUAAUUUGACAAACAUGGUGUUCUUCUUUGUUGUAAUCUGACCAAGAUAAAUAAAUAAAAUAUAAUGAAAUCUGAUAGCGAUAACAUUUAUAUUAAACCUACGGCAAUAUCUUGAAAACAGAGACAAAAUGGACCCUGAAAUCUUAUUAUAAUGGAAAGCUAUCUUCCUGUUUAUUAAAUCUGAUCUUUUUAUAUGUUGAAGAUGCUGGAAUUCUUUUUAUUACACCAAUUUUGAUUGCGACGAGCACAUGAUUCUGGUCAUAGAUUUAUCUUUCACACUUUCAAAAAAUUUCUUUAUUUAUUUAGAAAGACUGCAGAAAAAUUAGAAACCAUCAUGGUCUCGAUUGUGACUCUGACACUAUGAUGCAGAACAGUGUUGUAAAAAUAGCAGACGUAUAGCAGCUUGACAUUCAUAAACUCCAUGUUAGUAGGAUAUUGUCCGCUCUGGACAAUAGUCAAACCUGCACGGAUUUGUUUUGACUCCUCCCAGAAGAUCUCAUACUAAUACAGUUGUUUUACCUGUUUACCAAGACAAAUCUUCUUUAUGUUUAAGGCGUGAGAAUUGGGUUGACACCCACUCAACACCAUGCACAUUAUGCUAGUAACGAUCUCUGGUGUGCUAAGUGCAUAAGACCCGACAAGAUAUAUUUUAAGAAUAUAAUAUUGUUCCUUGCGGCAACAUGCUAUUGGGUGGUGAUUUCGCUUAUAGGGUCAAAUCAAUAUGUUCUAAGAAGAAAUAUUUGAAUAUCAAUCUCAUUGAUCUCACAAGAUCAUACCAAAUCCCAUUUGGCAUGAUUCUUGUGUUCUUGAGGUGGAUGUGAAUUGUUCAUGUAAAGAAAUUGUUUUGCAGUAUAUAUUAAAGAAAACGAAGAAAAGAGGCUUUCAUUAUUUCAUGUAUUAUUCUUUUUUGAUGCAACUAUGGUCAUCUUAAAUAGGAAAAACAAGGGUCUUUUAUUUAUUUUCUUUCUUUUUUGCUGUUUAUUUAGGAAGAAGUUAAGCUAGGCAGAUAGAAAAUGUUAAGAAGAACAAUGAAAGUGCAAAGGAAUGAACAAACCAUGUACUGGAAACUCAUUACACUGAUAUUUACCACUUCAACUACAAUAUCAAUGUCACAAUAGUAUCAUUUACAUGCUAGUAAUCACAAUUUCAGAGGUGGCUGAGACUUGGAAUGUGGCUCCAGCGCUCCACCACUGCUUUUAAAUUAUAAUUGCAUGGCCGCCAGCUUACACAUAUUUAGCGAACAGUUUCACUCUCUGAAACAUUUUAAUCAAGUUUCACCCUCAGGAACAUUUUAUACUUAAAGCGGAGUUUAAUAUGUUUAGUUAUCAUCAUACAUACUAUAUAUGAAAGAAUGACCCAGGUACUGCUGAAGUAUCCUGUUUUUCAAAAAUGUCGGUCCAAAAUGCUGAAUAUUGGCCCUAUAUACCCUCGCGCUACAAAAUGAAUGGGCUCUGUUAGCAAUGUUGCAGGAAGAAUGAGUUUGAUUCAUUUAUAAUUAUUUCCAAAGACAAAGAGCAUAUUUAUUUCCAAAGUAGUAGAUGCUUUAGCAAGAAAACUUUCAGCUUAGGCCUUUAAAUUCAAGACCUCAUGCAGCAAUGCAGCAAAAUGCUGGUAAUGUUAUGAAAGAUUAGGCAAUGCCAGAAGCAAUUUAAGGCCAUACAGAACUUGGUCGCUUCUGAUCAACACAAUAAUAAUACCCGGACAGAAUGUCACACAUCUACUGUUACUGCUAUACUUUGUUGUGACGAGUAAUCAAGCGAUUCUGUCUGAGCCAUCAAACAAAGACCUAAUAUUUCAUCGUAAAAGGAUUAUUUACUCACUAACAAAAACAAAAUAUUAGAAAUAUAGAUGCAGGAUACUAUUUAUUAGUACACCAAAUUAAAAUAUUAAACUGGGGCACACGAUAUUGGUCACAAAUGUUCUCUCACACCUUUUACUUGUGUAUUUUUUCCUCACAUGCAAAUCUCUUCGAACAUUAUUGUUCGAAGAAUAGAAAUAAACUAAAAUGGCCUUCGAAUUGUGACUACAAACAUAAAAUGGAGAACAUUAUUGUUCAGUUUGAGUAAAAAUACCAACUAUUCUCGCACAUCUGACCCUCAAAAAGCAUGUAGACCCUACAAUCUGCGGAUUGAUAUGCUAUUUACAGAUAAAAAUAUGCAGAAGAUUUCAAAGAUGAACAAAAUCAUAUGGCAGCCCUCAGUAAAAACAUUUUUCAAGUUCUUAGAGGAAUUUCAUAAUAAUGGAAAUGUAUGCUGUCCCUUAACCAAACACAAUGACAGUGACAACCAUGGUCCAUGUAUAGUAUAAAGGCUACAAUAUCUGGAUUCCAUAUAAUUAUGCUUAUAGGCCAGUCUCAUAAACUGCAAAAUGAUAAUGAAUUCGAGAUCAAGACCACUUUCUAUAUGCAAAAUGGUGAACUAGAAUAAGAUCAAAUUCACUAUCGUAAUGUUUUAGUGAAGUCUGUGAUUACCUAGCAUAUAUAUCCGAGAUCAGAUAAUACCAAAAUUCUCAAGCAUGAACACGAUUUUAUCAGGUUCUUAGGUUGGAACCCCCGUAUCCAAUAUCCUCAAUAGAAGUAGUAAUUAAGCUCCAUGAGAUAUAUAGUUUUAAGUAAGAACAAACUCUAGUUAAGGAAUGUUCUCACUUUUCACGUUCUUUUUCUUUUUUUUAUGUUUCCACUUAAUAAGUGUAACCAUUCAUCUGAUAGGAUAGUGGAAUGCUCCUGUCCGAUGUGCGGCUCAUUAUUGUAACAUUAUUACGCUGAACCAAUCAUAGCUAUGCAUCUUAGUAUUUACCACCUGUAUAAGAAUCGCGCUUGAUGUCAAAUUUGCUACAACAUAUAUACAGUAAAAUUCAUCUGUCCUAUUGUGGCCGAUUAAGCAGUAUAUAUAUGUAGCCGCUUUUCCUAUAGUAUACGUCUUCUAGUAAUUGCUUGUUCCUCUUGUUUGAAAGAUAUAUUUGUAUUUGAAUUAACGCGAAAUAGAGUUUUAUAUAUGUUCUACAGUGGUUCUGCGGUUUGAAAUUUGAAUUUCAUGUAAAAUGAGGAGUACUUACAGAACAUUGCAGAAAAUGUAUAAAAUUUUGAGUAUUCUAUAAGUGUUGGCUAAUACACACCCUCUAAACGAUGGCAUUUCUUAUGGGGCUAAACUACAAUUUCCCAUUUAACUUGAGCGUAACUUUGCUAAAUAACCUAUUACUAAAUAAUCGCAGAAUAUAGAUUGACAUCAUAAUUCAUAAGGUUGCGACAGGACUGAAUCAGAUGUUGCAGGGAAAUUGAUUGCAAUUUUGAAUUGUAGAAGCAACUCUUGGCAGCGUUCGUCAUCUGCGCAGCUAAAUCAAACUUAAAUGGUUUAUCUCUGUUUUAUGCUCAAAAGAGAUCUAAAUUAAUUAGACAGAAUUCUUGACCCUUCUAUCUUGAUCAACCAAUUUUCUUCAACGGAAAUGUCCUUCGUUCAAAUUAUAGCUUCUGUUUGACAAUACUGUUAUCCAGAUGUUGAUAUGGGGUCUCCGCAAACUUAGGCUUUGAUACCAUGUUAAAUGAUCGAUUUUUCUAAAAUCUCAAGAUAUUGGAAAGAGGCUUGUCAUGAUCAUAUUGUAUUCUAACAUACCAGAUGUUCUUGUAGCUUAUUUGAUUAUUAUUUUUGCUGUGGUCCCUUUUUCAGUGACAACACAAUUAUGUAACGUUAUAUCUUGAUCACUUGGACAUGGUACCUGCAUAGAACUGAACAUAUCUGAAUUUGAGUUUGCUGUGUAUUGAUUAGAACUAAGGCUUAAUAUUACAUGUUGCUGAUUAAUUUUGCAGUGAAGUAAAAGAAUUGUGAUGAACGGGUUGUUGACCUGAUCUUUCACAUUUUCCGGGAAUAAGGGCUCAAAUUUCAGAGUUUGAUCAAAUGGUCCUGAAUAUUAUUUUCUACUUUAAAAUGUUAGAUUGCACGGUGUUCAUUUCUAUUUCAUUUCUUAACACCAAAAAUCGUGUAAACACGAAAAAAUGAAACAUCACCUAAACGCCAGACGAUAUAACGUUUUCUUCUAAGAACCAAGUUGGAUAAUCCGGCAUUAAUAAGUAAUAUUUCGAGCCAUCUUUCACAUAUACGAGAUUUUGGAUAUUUUUCGUGAAAAUUAUGAUAUACUUGCCUUUUCUCGUAAAGAAUUACUGUUAUUUUUAUUUUUUUCUUCUUCAAAGAAGAGUUUAAAAUCCACUUAUAUAUUAUUUUAUAUAUUUAACUCAAUCUUACGAUUUAUACAGUUAAAUCUAAUACUUCAAUCAUAUAGUCUUGUAAAGUUAUAAAACUUAUUGAAUGAAUAGAAAAUGUUAAAAAAGAAAAUAAAACGAGAAAACUUUAAAAUUGUGACCAAAGUUUACUCAAAUAAAAGUAACAAAUAGUAUACCCUGCUUCUAUCUGCACCAGAGGCGGACCACUCGUCCAAAAAUCAACAGUAAGACUGUAACACUUAAAUCCUGCUAUAAAUAGCCAAGUAGCUGAUGAGAGCUUCCAUGCAAAUUGCAUAACAGUUUCUACUUUGAUUGAACAUGAUGGCAUCACCAUCUGCUUUCUGUGCUGUACUUUAUCUCCUCCUUGUAAGUCUAUAUCAGUAUACUGCUCGGUUCUUCAUUUUGCUUAACAAGUUUGAAGCUGUGUAUAUAUUUCUCACAUAUAUAAUUUAUAUAUUACUACGCCUUUUGUCCAUGCAUAAACAGUUGUUAUUACCAUCUUUUCGAUUACCUGUAUCAGCAUUGUUCUAAAAGUUGGUUUCCGUAACUCAGUGAACUGAUUAGUAUUAUCCUAUUAUUCAAUUAAUCAUCCGAUUAAUCUCCGAUCAAUCUAUUUAAUUUCUUAGUAAUACUUGUUUCGUGUUUUCACCUAUUAAGUCUGAUUCCCUUUUUUACAACAGUGCAUGUAUGUUUUUAUUCUCUUGAAUUGGCAAAAUAGUGAUGUCAACUAUAAGUUAGCAAUUAUCAAACCAUUGCUUGUCUUGUUAUGUCAGUGAGUUUCUUUUUUUUUUUUUUCUUGAGCAGAUUGGAAGCCCUUCAUAUGCACGUCCUCAGCCAGCGGAGUACUGGAGAACUGUCAUGAAAGAUGAGGCAAUGCCCGAAGCAAUUCAAGGCCUAAUGGAAGUUAGUGAAUCCGGACCGCCUCUAAUCAGCCACAACAAUCUGAAACCAGACUGUCAUACGUCUACUGCCACUGGUACUGCAUUCAACAACAGGAAAUCAAGGCUUUCUGCUCGAGAUAUUGAACCGAGGCCUAACAUCUCAGCUUACCACGAUGACGAAAAGCUCAAGAAAGGAAAUGCUCAUGUGGAUGAUAUUGAACCGAGGCCCAAUAUUUCAAGCUAUCGUGGAGACAAAAAGCUCAGAGACAAUGAGUCUUUCGACAAAGAUAUAGAACCAAGGCCAAAUAUCUCAGCUUACCAUGAUGAUGAAAAGCUCAAGAAAGGUAAUUCUUAUCGGGAUGAUAUUGAACCAAGGCCUAACAUUUCAAGCUAUCAUGAUGACGAAAAGCUCAGAAACGAUGAGUCUUUCGACAAAGAUAUUGAACCAAGACCUAAUAUCUCAGCUUACCAUGAUGAUGAAAAGCUCAAGAAAGGUAAUUCUUAUAUGGAUGAUAUUGAACCAAGACCUAACAUUUCAAGCUAUCAUGAUGAUGAAAAGCUCAGAAACAAUGAGUCUUUUGACAAAGACAUCGAACCAAGGCCGAAUAUUUCAUCCUACCAUGACGAUGAGAAGCUUCAGAAAAGUGAUUCUUUUUCAAAAGAUAUUGAACCAAGGCCUAACAUUUCAAGCUAUCAUGAUGAAGAAAAGCUCAGAAACGAUGAGUCUUUCGACAAAAAUAUUGAACCAAGACCUAAUAUCUCAGCUUACCAUGAUGGCGAAAAGCUCACGGAGAAUGAGUCUUUUGACAAAGACAUUGAACCAAGGCCGAAUAUUUCAUCCUACCAUGACGAUGAGAAGCUUAAGAAAAGUGAUUCAUUUUCGAAAGAUAUUGAACCAAGGCCUAAUAUUUCAAGCUAUCAUGAUGACGAAAAGCUCAGAGACACCGAGUCUUUUGACAAAGACAUCGAAGCAAGGCCGAAUAUUUCAUCCUACCAUGACGACGAGAAGCUCAAAAAAAAUGAUUCUUUUUCAAAAGAUAUUGAACCAAGGCCUAACAUUUCAGCCUACCAGGGUGACAAGAAGCUCACAGAAAAUGAAUCAUUUAUCAGAGAUAUUGAACCAAGGCCGAAUAUCUCAUCCUACCAUGAUGAUGAAAAGCUUAAAAAAACGGACGCUUUCACAAAAGAUAUUGAACCACGACCUAAUAUCUCAGCCUAUAAUGAUAAUGAAGCGCUUAAAGAAGAUAAGUCAUAUGAUGAUGAUUUGAAGCCAAGACCCAAUAUUUCAAUAUAUCAGGAAUAGUUUGGGGUCGCAG